rnacentral:rRNA from 1 species
GACCCUGAUUUGGUGGUUGAGCCAAUGUCUUCCACAAGUUCGACUCAAUCCAACAGAUCAGCAGCAAGUUCUUCAUCUACACCAUCCAGUGAGAAUUCCCGAGCUCGUGACACAGGAUCUAGUGCGAGAUCAACUGGUGCAUCUCAACCAGCACCAACAGAAAGGACAGGAAACUCUUUACGGUUCGAUGGACGAACCAUACAUUUCUCUAUCAAUGCUUGGGUAUUGAUUGUUGCUAGUCUUGGAAUCCUUCCAAUUGUACCGAAAGAUGUCGCAAGCAAAGCAUAUAGACUUUCGUUGCUAGGAACAAUAUGCUCGUCAGCAUAUUCUUUAUACUGCACUUAUGGGAAACCAAGAGCAUGGAACAUGCCUGCAAUUCAGCCUUGGCUGCAGUCUAUAAUUGUAGCCAAGGACUUUGUUCAUUUGAUGUUCUCUCUUAUGAUGUUCACAUCAAAUGUACGCUUUAAGAUUGUUCUACUGCCUGUGCUUUGCUGGGCACUUGAUCAUGUUGCUAGAUUCCUGAGGCGUAAUUUUGCACGCUCCUCUUUCUACAGGAGGUACAUGGAGGAGCCUUGUUUGUGGGUGGAGACAAACAACACUACGAUCAGCCUCCUUUGUUCAAAUGCUGAAAUUACCCUUGGCUUUCUUAUGAUCGUAUCACUUUUCUCGUGGAAACGCAACAUAAUUCAGACAUUCAUGUACUUUCAUCUGUUGAAGUUGAUGUACCAUGCUCCUGUAACAUCGGGUUAUCACCAGAGUGUGUGGGCGAGAAUUGGCCGGGCUGUAAACCCUCACAUUCUUCGGUACACGCCAUUUCUCAACACGCCAAUUUCAGCAGUACAAAGAUGGUGGCUGAGAUAG